rnacentral:misc_RNA from 1 species
AAAGUCGUAACAAGGUCUCCGUUGGUGAACCAGCGGAGGGAUCAUUACAAGAAGCCGAAAGGCUACUUAAAACCAUCGCGAACUCGUCCAAGUUGCUUCGGCGGCGCGGGACCCCUCGGGGGACCGCAGCGCCGCUUCCCCCCCGGGGGUUGCGGGGCGCCCGCCGGAGGUCACAAACUCUCAUGUAUUAUAGUGGAUCUCUGAGUAAAAAACAAAUAAGUUAAAACUUUCAACAACGGAUCUCUUGGUUCUG